rnacentral:rRNA from 1 species
UACGGAGGGAGCUAGCGUUGUUCGGAAUUACUGGGCGUAAAGCGCACGUAGGCGGCUUUUAAGUCAGGGGUGAAAUCCCGGGGCUCAACCCGGAACUGCCCUUGAAACUGGGAAGCUAGAAUCUUGGAGAGGCGAGUGGAAUUCCGAGUGUAGAGGUGAAAUUCGUAGAUAUUCGGAAGAACACCAGUGGCGAAGGCGACUCGCUGGACAAGUAUUGACGCUGAGGUGCGAAAGCGUGGGGAGCAAACAGG